rnacentral:tRNA from 1 species
GGCUCGGUAGCUUAGUUGGUAAAGCACUUGUGUUGCGAAUAAGGGUCGUGAGUUCAAAUCUCACCUGAGCUG